rnacentral:rRNA from 1 species
UACAGAGGGGGCAAGCGUUGUUCGGAAUUACUGGGCGUAAAGGGCGCGUAGGCGGCCCGCUAAGUCGAACGUGAAAUCCCCGGGCUCAACCCGGGAACUGCGUCCGAUACUGGCAGGCUUGAAUUCGGGAGAGGGAUGCGGAAUUCCAGGUGUAGCGGUGAAAUGCGUAGAUAUCUGGAGGAACACCGGUGGCGAAGGCGGGUCUCUGGGCCGAUACUGACGCUGAGGAGCGAAAGCGUGGGGAGCGAACAGG